rnacentral:rRNA from 1 species
GUCGAGCGGUAGCACAGAGAGCUUGCUCUCGGGUGACGAGCGGCGGACGGGUGAGUAAUGUCUGGGAAACUGCCUGAUGGAGGGGGAUAACUACUGGAAACGGUAGCUAAUACCGCAUAAUGUCGCAAGACCAAAGUGGGGGACCUUCGGGCCUCAUGCCAUCAGAUGUGCCCAGAUGGGAUUAGCUAGUAGGUGGGGUAACGGCUCACCUAGGCGACGAUCCCUAGCUGGUCUGAGAGGAUGACCAGCCACACUGGAACUGAGACACGGUCCAGACUCCUACGGGAGGCAGCAGUGGGGAAUAUUGCACAAUGGGCGCAAGCCUGAUGCAGCCAUGCCGCGUGUGUGAAGAAGGCCUUCGGGUUGUAAAGCACUUUCAGCGGGGAGGAAGGCGAUAAGGUUAAUAACCUUGUCGAUUGACGUUACCCGCAGAAGAAGCACCGGCUAACUCCGUGCCAGCAGCCGCGGUAAUACGGAGGGUGCAAGCGUUAAUCGGAAUUACUGGGCGUAAAGCGCACGCAGGCGGUCUGUCAAGUCGGAUGUGAAAUCCCCGGGCUCAACCUGGGAACUGCAUUCGAAACUGGCAGGCUAGAGUCUUGUAGAGGGGGGUAGAAUUCCAGGUGUAGCGGUGAAAUGCGUAGAGAUCUGGAGGAAUACCGGUGGCGAAGGCGGCCCCCUGGACAAAGACUGACGCUCAGGUGCGAAAGCGUGGGGAGCAAACAGGAUUAGAUACCCUGGUAGUCCACGCCGUAAACGAUGUCGAUUUGGAGGUUGUGCCCUUGAGGCGUGGCUUCCGGAGCUAACGCGUUAAAUCGACCGCCUGGGGAGUACGGCCGCAAGGUUAAAACUCAAAUGAAUUGACGGGGGCCCGCACAAGCGGUGGAGCAUGUGGUUUAAUUCGAUGCAACGCGAAGAACCUUACCUGGUCUUGACAUCCACAGAACUUUCCAGAGAUGGAUUGGUGCCUUCGGGAACUGUGAGACAGGUGCUGCAUGGCUGUCGUCAGCUCGUGUUGUGAAAUGUUGGGUUAAGUCCCGCAACGAGCGCAACCCUUAUCCUUUGUUGCCAGCGGUUAGGCCGGGAACUCAAAGGAGACUGCCAGUGAUAAACUGGAGGAAGGUGGGGAUGACGUCAAGUCAUCAUGGCCCUUACGACCAGGGCUACACACGUGCUACAAUGGCAUAUACAAAGAGAAGCGACCUCGCGAGAGCAAGCGGACCUCAUAAAGUAUGUCGUAGUCCGGAUUGGAGUCUGCAACUCGACUCCAUGAAGUCGGAAUCGCUAGUAAUCGUAGAUCAGAAUGCUACGGUGAAUACGUUCCCGGGCCUUGUACACACCGCCCGUCACACCAUGGGAGUGGGUUGCAAAAGAAGUAGGUA